UUUAUACCGAAGUAUUUGUUUUCCAAUAUAACCUCCAAGUAGCAGCCGAUAUAUGAAACAACAUCUGUCGGCUACGUAUGGGAUACUUUGCAAUUAUGUAAGUUUGCCAUGUGAGUGAUGUCAAGUGAAAAAAUGAGCCCGCAGCCCCAAACAUCCAAAAGAAAAGGACAGAAUAAGUGGUAGCUUUUGAUGAUUUUACCUCGAACAAUUUACCCAAUCCAACAAUCAUGAAUUGAGACAAAGAUGCUGUGAAAUCAGCUAUAGAUAAGCUUAAGAUGGUAAUCCACGGUCCUCGUCUUAGUUUGUUUAAAGGAUCCUUCACAAUAACAACAAUAAGAAGACCAUUUGUUAGAACACCAACU